ACGGCGGGGCGGGGGCGCCGCAGCGCCGACAACUCCCGCGCCGACGGCUCGGGCUCCCCGCAGUGGCCACGGGGGGCUCGGGUAGGGGGCGGGCGGCGCGGAGCUUGUUGGUGGGUGGCGCGGUUGUAGGCGGGCGCGGCGGCGUCGCGCCCCCGGGGUGGCCGGAUGGGGGGGCGCCGGGCCGGGCCCGUGGGCACCGCAGGACGCGCGGACCGAGCGGGCGCCGGGCACCAGCAAUGACAAGCCGCCUGCUCGCCCCUCUCCCAGGCGCACCCGCUCCGGGAGGGGGGCGGCGGGCACGCGCAAAACCCGGCCCGGAGCCGCCGCCCGGGACCGGCCGCUGCAACCUGCCCAAGCGCACCGGAGGCCGGUCCGAAAACCCGGGAUGGACUUUCCUCCCCUUCGACCCCCACCUCUAGCCCUUAUGGAAAAACCGGGAGAGGGAAGGAGAUAUGCUGGAUCCCCGCGAUGGAACGGGAAGUGGGGGAGGGGAGACAGGCUCGAGGAAGACCUGGAGCGGAUUUUGCAGGUAGUGGAGUAAAGGCGCUUUGCCCGGUGAGGGGAGAAAUGGGAGCGAUCUGGAAGGGGUCUGCAAAACCCGGGUUGGAUUAGACAGAGAUGGGAGGAACGAAGGCAACUGCGACAGGGCCAAAUGCACCCCGGGCACGCAAAUUUCGGGCCGGAUUCUUCCUCGGGAGACGGAGUAAUGCGUCAUGCCUAAUGCAGUGGGAACAAGUAAGACCUGGCCUAGAGUUCCCAAACCUGGGCUCGCAGGGGGCUCCGGGAGGGGGCUAUUUAGUGGCUGAGGCGGCGUGGACUGCCCUCGUCUUCCUGGCAGCGACGUGCAAGAAGGAGGGGCAAAAGGAGGGCUGGACUCGGGCACGAAAGGAUCUGGAGCGCCGACUGCACGAAGCAGGCAGCAGAACUUCUCAAAUGUCAUCUCUGGAUCACACUGCGAACGCGUCACCUUCCCCACUCUCAAGAAGCAAGAGUCCAGGAAGCCACCCAAGUCCAGUCUGAGCAACAGCGGGCAGGCAGCAAUGGUGGUCCAUUCCCAGUAAGGCACCAACUGGGAGGAGAGGACAGUUGGGGUGCACUUCCCACCCCGACCGCUAGGGGCCGCUGCCCCGCUGCUCUGCGGCCGCCAGGUGAGGAGGCCCCGCCUCUUCCCCAGCAGGUGCUCUGGAGGCUUGGGCGAGAGGGCAGGGGACCAGGGUAAAGAGCGCGGGGCUGGGGGAGGAAUUGGGGGGGGGGUGCGAAGGGACGAAAUGGGGGUGAAGG
rnacentral:lncRNA from 1 species